rnacentral:rRNA from 1 species
AGAGUUUGAUCCUGGCUCAGGAUGAACGCUAGCGACAGGCCUAACACAUGCAAGUCGAGGGGCAGCGGGGAGGUAGCAAUACCUUUGCCGGCGACCGGCGCACGGGUGAGUAACACGUAUGCAAUCCACCUGUAACAGGGGGAUAACCCGGAGAAAUCCGGACUAAUACCCCAUAAUAUGGGCGCUCCGCAUGGAGAGUCCAUUAAAGAGAGCAAUCUUGGUUACAGACGAGCAUGCGCUCCAUUAGCCAGUUGGCGGGGUAACGGCCCACCAAGGCGACGAUGGAUAGGGGUUCUGAGAGGAAGGUCCCCCACAUUGGAACUGAGACACGGUCCAAACUCCUACGGGAGGCAGCAGUGAGGAAUAUUGGUCAAUGGUCGGCAGACUGAACCAGCCAAGUCGCGUGAGGGAAGACGGCCCUACGGGUUGUAAACCUCUUUUGUCGGAGAGUAAAGUACGCUACGCGUAGCGUAUUGCAAGUAUCCGAAGAAAAAGCAUCGGCUAACUCCGUGCCAGCAGCCGCGGUAAUACGGAGGAUGCGAGCGUUAUCCGGAUUUAUUGGGUUUAAAGGGUGCGUAGGCGGCACGCCAAGUCAGCGGUGAAAUUUCCGGGCUCAACCCGGAGUGUGCCGUUGAAACUGGCGAGCUAGAGUACACAAGAGGCAGGCGGAAUGCGUGGUGUAGCGGUGAAAUGCAUAGAUAUCACGCAGAACCCCGAUUGCGAAGGCAGCCUGCUAGGGUGAAACAGACGCUGAGGCACGAAAGCGUGGGUAUCGAACAGGAUUAGAUACCCUGGUAGUCCACGCAGUAAACGAUGAAUACUAACUGUUUGCGAUACAAUGUAAGCGGUACAGCGAAAGCGUUAAGUAUUCCACCUGGGGAGUACGCCGGCAACGGUGAAACUCAAAGGAAUUGACGGGGGCCCGCACAAGCGGAGGAACAUGUGGUUUAAUUCGAUGAUACGCGAGGAACCUUACCCGGGCUCAAACGCAGGGGGAAUAUAUAUGAAAGUAUAUAGCUAGCAAUAGUCACCUGCGAGGUGCUGCAUGGUUGUCGUCAGCUCGUGCCGUGAGGUGUCGGCUUAAGUGCCA